AGUCGUCUAAGCUUCCAUUCGCCAUGUAUUCAUAGGCUAGAAUGCCGUACUCUGGGCAGGCUCCAAGAAGCAGCACCAUGUUGGGAUGUCGAAUGGAGCUAAGUAUGUCGAUCUGCAUCAAAUCAUGAAAGAAGAGCGGAGAACUGUGAGGUGCUGGACGAGAAGCAUGUCGCUCUGAAUUGAUUUUCCCUUUGGAGAUGACAUAUAUGGUGCAGAAAUCGGGUUGGUCAUGGAAAAAGCUUUCGAAGGAAGAGCUCCGAAACCUACAUCCUUACGAGUACAAUAGCAAUGGAAGGUAACGAACAGAUCCUUGGCCAUCUUUUCGAGUUGCUGUUUGCGCGGGGAUUGAGACGGAUUGUUCAUAUUGCAUACAACAGCAUUGUUUCCAGCCACUGCACCCAUAAAAAAAAAAGAAAAAAAAAAGCUGUAUCAUUGCCUUCCAUUGAAAAGUAAUUUUUUAGCUACCUUUAGAGAGAGAGAGAGAGAGAGAGAGAGAGAGAGAGAGAUUACAGGGGCAAACUGAUGAUGCCUUCUGAACAUGUAGUAGAAUGACAGUUUGGCCCCUGGUGAGAACAUGUUCAGCAGCCCAUCUGAGUGCAUUUUGGCUCCCUUUCUGAUUGUCUAUGGCAACUGCCACCAAUCCAUUUCCUCCUGCUUC